GCCAGGUGAGGUGGCACACACCUGUAAUCCCAGUGGCUCAGGAGGCUGAGGCAGGAGGAUCCUGAGUUCAAAACCAGCCUCAGCAAAAAGCAAGGCGCUAAGCAACUCAGGGAGACCCUGUCUCUA
rnacentral:sRNA from 1 species